AACGCAUAUUGCGCCCUUUGGUAUUCCGAAGGGCAUGCCUGUUCGAGCGUCAUGAUCAAACCCUCAAGCUUUGCUUGGUAUUGGGUCUUCGUCUCUCCUGUCAUUGUACAGGUAGUGACGUGCCUGAAAGUCAAUGGCGGUGCCUCAAAUAGACUCAAGCGAAGCAGACUGACUCGCUUUGGAGAACUUUUGUGGGUUCUGUCAAACAAAAAUCUAAGUUUUCGACCUCGGAUCAGGUAGGGAUACCCGCUGAACUUAA
rnacentral:misc_RNA from 1 species